GAUGAACGCUAGCUACAGGCUUAACACAUGCAAGUCGAGGGGAAACGGCAUUUAGUGCUUGCACUGAAUGGACGUCGACCGGCGCACGGGUGAGUAACGCGUAUCCAACCUACCCAUUACUGUGGGAUAACCUGCCGAAAGGCAGACUAAUACCGCAUAGUCUUCGAUGACGGCAUCAGAUUUGAAGUAAAGAUUUAUCGGUAAUGGAUGGGGAUGCGUCUGAUUAGCUUGUUGGCGGGGUAACGGCCCACCAAGGCAACGAUCAGUAGGGGUUCUGAGAGGAAGGUCCCCCACAUUGGAAUUGAGACACGGUCCAAACUCCUACGGGAGGCAGCAGUGAGGAAUAUUGGUCAAUGGACGAGAGUCUGAACCAGCCAAGUAGCGUGCAGGAUGACGGCCCUAUGGGUUGUAAACUGCUUUUGUAUGGGGAUAAAGUCAAUCACGUGUGAUUGUUUGCAGGUACCAUACGAAUAAGGACCGGCUAAUUCCGUGCCAGCAGCCGCGGUAAUACGGAAGGUCCGGGCGUUAUCCGGAUUUAUUGGGUUUAAAGGGAGCGUAGGCCGGAGAUUAAGUGUGUUGUGAAAUGUAGACGCUCAACGUCUGACUUGCAGCGCAUACUGGUUUCCUUGAGUACGCACAACGUUGGCGGAAUUCGUCGUGUAGCGGUGAAAUGCUUAGAUAUGACGAAGAACUCCGAUUGCGAAGGCAGCUGACGGGAGCGCAACUGACGCUUAAGCUCGAAGGUGCGGGUAUCGAACAGG
rnacentral:rRNA from 1 species